CGUAUCCUCUACAUAACAGACGAGGUCAACGACCCCUCCUUUACUAUCAAAUCAAUCGGCCAUCAAUGAUAUUGAACCUACGAAUACACCGACUACGGCCAGGAGUAUAUUAUGGCCAAUGCUCAGAAAUCUGUGGAGCAAACCACAGCUUUAUGCCUAUCGUCCUAGAGUUAAUCCCCCUAAAAAUCUUUGAAAUAGGACCCGUAUUCACUCUAUAGUGCCCCUUUCACCUCUCUCCAGAGCUCACUGUAAAGCUAACCUAGCAUUAACCUUUUAAGUUAAAGAUCAAGAGGGCCAACACCUCUUUACAGUGAAAUGCCCCAACUAAAUACCACUGUAUAACCCACCAUAAUCACCCCAAUACUCCUUACACUAUUUCUCAUCACCCAGCUAAAAAUAUUAAAUACAAAUUACCACUUACCCCCCUCACCAAAAUCCAUAAAAAUAAAAAACUACAAUAAACCCUGAGAACCAAAAUGAACGAAAAUCUAUUCGCUUCAUUCAUUGCCCCCACAAUUCUAGG
rnacentral:lncRNA from 1 species